rnacentral:pre_miRNA from 1 species
CACAUUCAUCGCUGUCGGUGGGUUCAUGAUGCGAUCAACCUGUCGGUCGAUGAAUGACA